rnacentral:rRNA from 1 species
GACCCGUCUUGAAACACGGACCAAGGAGUUCAACAUGCACGCUAGUUGUUGGGUUAUCCGAAACCCGCUAGCGAAGUGAAAGCAAGGCACGGCUCUGUCGUGUAUUUGGCGAGAUCCCGCAACUUGGUGGUGUAAAAGCCACCGAGCCGGGCGCAUCGCCGGCCCAUCUCAAGCUCAAGUGGCUGAGGUGGAGCUUGAGCGUGCGCGUUGAGACCCGAAAGAUGGUGAACNAUGCCUGGACAGGGCGAAGCCAGGGGAGACCCUGGUGGAGGCCCGUAGCGAUUCUGACGUGCAAAUCGAUCGUCUGAUCUGGGUAUUGGGGCGAAAGACNAAUCGAACCAUCUAGUAGCUGGUUCCCUCCGA